UGAACCCCGUCCACUCUCCAGUGGCCCACCACGUACUGUCCACAGAAGCUCCAGGCGGUUAUCCUGCACAGCCUCUCCACAAUCCCCAGACUCGACAGCCAUCUCCCUGGCGGAUCAAGCCGCUCCCGAACAAUCCUGUUUCCACAGCCUGUGUUGGGAACUUUACUUCAAUGGCUGGUGUUCCUCCAUCUCGAGGACUUCCAAGAAGAUCCUUCCUCAUACCACUGCUCCUAGACUCCUCGCUGCUCCUCCGUCCUCCCGGAUCCUAGCUAUGCUGCUGCUCGGUAAUCCAUCACUCUCCUGCCUGUCUACCCUCAGUCUGCUGUGGCUCUUCCAACAGCCUCACUAUGGAGAAGGACAAACUAAUGCGCUGCCAGCGCAACCUCUCAAACACAACCAGCCUGUCAAUCUCACUUAGAGAGUUACUCACCUUCCCUGGCCCUCCAUCUUCAUCACCAAACAGUAUGCCGCUCCUUCAACCUGUCGCUCAACUCCACAUUCAACAUAAACUUACCUCCAACUAGUACUUAACUUCACCUUCCAGUGUUUGUCCAGAUCCCGGUCCAGAAACCUGAAGUUCUCUACCUUGUGUUUCUUAAUAAAUCACCUAAAAACUG